rnacentral:rRNA from 1 species
CCUACGGGAGGCAGCAGUGGGGAAUAUUGGACAAUGGGCGAAAGCCUGAUCCAGCCAUGCCGCGUGUGUGAAGAAGGUCUUCGGAUUGUAAAGCACUUUAAGUUGGGAGGAAGGGCAGUUACCUAAUACGUGAUUGUUUUGACGUUACCGACAGAAUAAGCACCCGCUAACUCUGUGCCAGCAGCCGCGGUAAU